GGGUCAAUGUUGAAACCUUACAUUGUCUUGAAGAGAGGUGAUGACAAAAUAAUUAUGCUCAAUAGCAUUACAUCAAGGCCC
rnacentral:snoRNA from 1 species